GAUGAACGCUGGCGGCGUGCCUAAUACAUGCAAGUCGAGCGAACAGACGAGGAGCUUGCUCCUCUGACGUUAGCGGCGGACGGGUGAGUAACACGUGGAUAACCUACCUAUAAGACUGGGAUAACUUCGGGAAACCGGAGCUAAUACCGGAUAAUAUAUUGAACCGCAUUGUUCAAUAGUGAAAGACGGUUUUGCUGUCACUUAUAGAUGUAUCCGCGCCGCAUUAGCUAGUUGGUAAGGUAACGGCUUACCAAGGCAACGAUGCGUAGCCGACCUGAGAGGGUGAUCGGCCACACUGGAACUGAGACACGGUCCAGACUCCUACGGGAGGCAGCAGUAGGGAAUCUUCCGCAAUGGGCGAAAGCUUGACGGAGCAACGCCGCGUGAGUGAUGAAGGUCUUCGGAUCGUAAAACUCUGUUAUUAGGGAAGAACAAAUGUGUAAGUAACUAUGCACGUCUUGACGGUACCUAAUCAGAAAGCCACGGCUAACUACGUG
rnacentral:rRNA from 1 species